rnacentral:rRNA from 1 species
UACGGAAGGUGCAAGCGUUAUCCGGAAUCACUGGGUUUAAAGGGUGCGUAGGCGGCAUCAUAAGUCAGAGGUGAAAGCUCACCGCUUAACGGUGGAAUUGCCUUUGAUACUGUGGAGCUUGAAUCAGGUUGAGGUUGGCGGAAUGUGACAUGUAGCGGUGAAAUGCAUAGAUAUGUCAUAGAACACCAAUUGCGAAGGCAGCUGACUAGACCUAGAUUGACGCUGAGGCACGAAAGCGUGGGGAGCGAACAGG